rnacentral:lncRNA from 1 species
GUUGUUUGAAAACUCAGUCUUAAAAACCAUCCAAAUGGUAUGGAGAAUUCAUAGAUAAAUCAGGUAAAGGACUAUAAGGUGUAGCCUACAAUUAUAAAGAAGAAAAUAAGAUUUUUAUUGCAGUUACUCCAGGCUGAUGUGGGUCUAUCCUAUCAGCCACAGCACACAACAGAACAAAUUAGCCUGAGACUUGUCAGGCUCUCUUCAGUUUUCUGUUUGGCUCUCAGAAACUGUAAGAUAAUCAUCCACCUUGGUUAGUGCCUCUCUGAACCUGCCCUUCAAACGUGCUACUCUUUCUCCACCAUUCAUUAUUUCCUUGUAAAUCUCAAGUAGCCAUCUCGUUCGUUACCCUUUAGCUUAUUUAAUCAUUCUAUAAUACAUACGGCCAACUGCUAAACUUAACAGUGGAAGAUCAACUGGGGAAGGAGCAGUGGAGAGAGAAAUUCAUUCCCUUUAUUGUCAUAAAGUUGGAAAAUUAUGACCACAUGCAUGGACUGAGCCAAAAGAGCAGAAAAUUCCCUUUGUCUCCUUAUUAUUCACCCAUUGUGCUGUUUUAAGUUCCUUUAGUGGCCAAAGGGUGACAGAAGCAAUAUGUCAGGUUUUUGCUGUAAAAUGUUAUCUAAAGGCAAGAAGUAGACCUGUAGGACAGAUAGAAUUCUCCACCGAGCCAUGGGAUUUCUGAUAAAAUUCUAUAACCAAAUAAAAAAUAUCUGUGACAA